rnacentral:lncRNA from 1 species
ACAGCAACAGCUGGACUGCUUCCAAGUGGAAGUGCUCACAGAACAACCAUGCAACAGCCACUGGCCACACUGACAGAGAAGCUGAUAACUAAUCAGAGUCAAACUGAGCCUAUCAACCCUUUUCCAUGUCCACAAAGAUAAACAUGAGCGAGCCUGAGAUAAAACACCACGGAGUGCACUUCCCUGGGACCAUUUUGAGAGCUUUGGACCUCUGGGAACACAGAUGUGACCCAGCAGGAUGGCCACACCACCCACAGGGCAGUAGAGGUGGACAGCAAAUGCAGAGAAACUGCAUCAUAAAUGCCUGUAGCUCUUCCUGUGGGUGUGAGGAACCUGUCUCUCAACCCAGCUUGAAUGGGAUUUGUUUCUGCAGCAGGAAUAAUCCUAAGUCAUCCAUUCUGACGCCGGAGACUCAGCACUUUCAGUUUCAGAAGUUCAUCAUCAUGGUGGGAACCCUGGCAGC